rnacentral:pre_miRNA from 1 species
CAACUACUCCCUCUGUCCCAAAUUUCUUGUCUUAGAUUUUUCUAGAUACAGAUGUAUCUAAUACUAAAAUGUGACUUGAUACAUCCGUAUCUAGAAAAAUCUAAGACAAGAAUUUUGGGAUGGAGGGAGUACUUU